GACCCAGUCGUCAAGUCCGGUUAAGACAUAACACUUUCACUGUUACAGCGAGAGUUCAAAUCUCUCCUGGGUCA